GGGACUAGGUGAUUUGGGGGCGGGGCGGAGGAAGGACAUGACUAGGCUUGGUAAAUCCGCCCCGCCCCCAAAUCACCUAGUCCCAGUCUUUUCAU